rnacentral:rRNA from 1 species
CAGCAGCCGCGGGAAUACGAAGGGGGCUAGCGUUGUUCGGAAUUACUGGGCGUAAAGCGCACGUAGGCGGACAUUUAAGUCAGGGGUGAAAUCCCGGGGCUCAACCCCGGAACUGCCUUUGAUACUGGGUGUCUAGAGUAUGGAAGAGGUGAGUGGAAUUCCGAGUGUAGAGGUGAAAUUCGUAGAUAUUCGGAGGAACACCAGUGGCGAAGGCGGCUCACUGGUCCAUUACUGACGCUGAGGUGCGAAAGCGUGGUGAGCAAACAGGAUUAGAUACCCGUGUAGUCCCUGUCUCUUAUAC